rnacentral:rRNA from 1 species
GACGAACGCUGGCGGCGUGCUUAACACAUGCAAGUCGAACGGAAAGGCCCUGCUUUUGUGGGGUGCUCGAGUGGCGAACGGGUGAGUAACACGUGAGUAACCUGCCCUUGACUUUGGGAUAACUUCAGGAAACUGGGGCUAAUACCGGAUAGGAGCUCCUGCUGCAUGGUGGGGGUUGGAAAGUUUCGGCGGUUGGGGAUGGACUCGCGGCUUAUCAGCUUGUUGGUGGGGUAGUGGCUUACCAAGGCUUUGACGGGUAGCCGGCCUGAGAGGGUGACCGGCCACAUUGGGACUGCGCUACGGCCCAGACUCCUACGGGAGGCAGCGGUGGGGAAUAUUGCACAAUGGGCGGAAGCCUGAUGCAGCAACGCCGCGUGCGGGAUGACGGCCUUCGGGUUGUAAACCGCUUUCGCCUGUGACGAAGCGUGAGUGACGGUAAUGGGUAAAGAAGCACCGGCUAACUACGUG